rnacentral:lncRNA from 1 species
GCAGGACAUGGAGAGACUCUUCCUGAGGCCAGUGAGGCGUGCAAGUGCCAGCCAUUCCUUUUGGGGUUUUUUUUCACAAUUUUAAUAUUUUAUCCAUUAAUGAAUUUGUUUUGCAUUCAAUUUUUACUUUUUUUAAAAGAUUAUUGCAUUGCAAUAUGAUUUCAUUUGAUUGCUGACUUGCUGGGCUUUUUCUUUUUUUUAAUUUGAUGCUCAAAGCAAGUAUCUCAGUUGUGUGACUCCAGUUCAGCCCUGCAAAGAAAGGCGCUUGUCUCCCUAAACACACCUGUCCGGCCCCAUCCUGUCCCCUCUGAGAUCCACUCCUGCCCUCUCCCCACCCCACAACCCUUCCCUGGCAGGAAGAGGACAGUGGUGCUGUGGGUCCCAGGGAAGUUCCAGACCUCACAGCUGAGCACAGACCAGAGCGGAGCUCCUCUCUGAAGGUCCACGCUCAGCAGUUACUAAGGGUGGAGGAGGUGUGUUCUCCUCUCCAGCCCCUCCCCAGCAUACUGGUGCACUCACUCUGCAGGGAGACGUUCAGGUAGACCUGCUGAGAGCCGAGAGGGUUCUGAGCUCUGCAGGUGAAUUCAGCUGCAUCCCUCAGGUGCACCCAAGGCAGCUCCAGCACCCCCGGGUUUGAGGGCUGUGAGGGGCACAGGGUCAGGCCUCUCCAGCUCAGGCUCAGCCUGGCAGGGGGAUUGCUGUCAACUGCAUCAACUGCACAGACCAGGCGCAGAGACUGGCCCUCUGGGAGUGACAGAGAUGAG